rnacentral:tRNA from 1 species
GGUUGUGGCUCAGCGGUAGAGCGCUGGCCUAGCACAUGCGAGGCCCUGGGUUCGAUCCUCAGCACCA